UUGGUUAUUAUGACGGAUAACGAUUGGCAUGCCCGAGGGGCCGGGGUGGGAAGGAACGACAGACUGCAAUUUAUAGGCGAAACAUCGGUAUAUGCUCUUAUUAUAUAGAUCCGUCCUUUUGUUCCUUCUUGGUGCCCUUGUUUUGAUUUGUUCAAUCGAUCAACGGAAGGGAUGUGUGAGGGUUGAUAUCGGUUGGUAUUUGGUAGCGCUUGCGCAAAGUGAGGAUCGUUCCGCACUUAUGAAGGGGGAGACAGAAAGGAAAGAGAAAGAAGCAGGUCCAGAUGAUGAUUAUCAAAGAAAGAAUGCCAUUGAGAUCGUCCCAAGGCGGAGAAAAAGGACGUAGAAAGGUAAUUGGGCGAGGAUCUCUUUUUUUGGUGGUAGUCUAAGACAGAUCGGGGCAGCGUAGACUAGAGCAGAUACUAGACACCGGACGCCAACAGAUGCGAGAGGUGGCAGCAGUAGUAAGAAGUGGUAAGUACUAAGACGACGUCAGGCAAGUACCGUGAAAGAAAGGGAAGCUCCUGCUUGGCGGGCGGCGACGGCAUGUCCCUCAGUAGGCAGUUUCUCUGCCUGAUUUGCUAUCUGGCCUGGCUGCUGUACUAAAGCAAUUUGAUAUUUCAAUGCUCGCUGGCAAAUGGGUGCUCGAGUGAGUGAUCGAUCGGUCCCUGGCGUGCAGCAGCUGCAGUGGCACCUCGAAACGGAAUAGCCGGGAA
rnacentral:lncRNA from 1 species